GAUUUGUUUAUUCAAAGGAACCGAACCAAGUCUUUACAGAUAUGGGAGUAUCCUCGAGGAGUUGAUGCAUAAUGUCUCCUAGAGAGCGGAAAGAAGAGUAUAUGAUGACCUACAGGCCUGGAUUGCAAGAUAUAGGUCUGAGGUUGGUCGCUGGCCCAUGUCUCUGUUGCUUGAAGUUGUUGUUCAACGGAUGCGAGGUGUGCCGCUCCAAAGCUGAUCUAUUCCUGCUCUUUGUUGCUUCUGCUUGCUAGAUUUAAUAUGUUUUCUGGUUUACUUCUGUAUCAAUUUUUUCCUUUUCGCCACUAGAAAUGAGUCCUUAAAUUGGUGAACUGACUUAUCAAUUUCAGGUUAUUUAAACAGAAGAUGGAAACAUCCCCAUGGUCCCAACAGUACAGCUAGGGCAUGAGAGUUUAGUUUGGGUGAACUAAUACACUGGGAUCUUCAUUGUUUAGGAUGUAUUUUGCCAUCCUAUGAUGUGCUUUUGUCGUGCUGCAUCCGCAUCUAUGCCCUAUACAUAUUUUCUUGAUUAUUUGUUGAAAUAGAAUUACGCUAGAUUUGUAUUAGUGAGGAUGAAGAAAACACUUCAUUUGUAGCCUGUGACAAAAGUAACCCCGAAGAAGAAAACUGCAAAUGUUCUUUGAUUGUGCAAAUUGGUUUGCACGAUAGUGAUUUGUCACCAAUAGGAUGGACACUAAUUUAGAGUUUAGACAGCUCAUGUAUGCACUACUUGCUAACCUUGCUAAGCAGCAUUAAUUAUUAUUUUUUUGGUCGCAAUCCAAACAUGUACAGCUAAAUACUUAGUUGUUAAUUUACCAUAUAGUUUCUGUUAGUUUGAUCAUCCUAAAUGUACUGUUCUGUGUAGGGCAUAACUAAGUGGUUCACUAUUUCAGAAAAAUAAGCUUCAAAGGCCACCAUUGUUGUUUUUAUUUAAUUUUUAUUUUGAGUUUUCUCCUGUGUAAGAUAUUACCUAUUCAUAUAUCCUUCAAACAUUUGCCAAUGUUGUUCUAAAGUAUAUAACCCAUAUGUCAUGUUUUGUACGAUGUUUCUGUUAUUCAUUUCAGCAACAUUUCCUAUUGGGUCGCUGCUUAUGCUGAAGUAUGUUUCCGCUGUCGUUGGGUCGCCGCAGCUGCUGGAGUAGGAGUACAGGUUGCCGGCCUCCAUCUUGGCAUAAGGUUUAAGCCAUGGUUGUCGUUGAGAUUUCGUCCAGGGUCUUGAUCAUGGCAGCUUCCAGAUCCAUUGUACAACACUAUACCCACGAAGUGUGAAGUGACCGGUGACCUACCUCUAUUGGUAUGUCAUAUACAUCAAUCUAUUGGAAAAAUCUGGCUAUGGGCAAAACACAUGCCCUAUGUACACGCAUCAUGUUGUUGAAGAAGACUGAUUAAAUUUGGGAGCAAAAUUAUAUUAUAUCAUUUUUACAUAGUUUCUCCUACCUUCAUCUGUUCUCACUCAUUGUCAAGCUGCGAAGCAAACUCUUUGAUGUUUCCCUAUGUUUAA